ACGAACGCUGGCGGCGUGCUUAACACAUGCAAGUCGAACGGUGAAGCGCUUUCCUUUUUGGUUGGUGUGGAUGAGUGGCGAACGGGUGAGUAACACGUGAGUAACCUGCCCCCUUCUUCUGGAUAACCGCAUGAAAGUGUGGCUAAUACGGGAUAUUCUGCGCCUGCUGCAUGGUGGGUGUGGGAAAGAUUGUGCCUUUGGGUGUUUUCGGUGGGGGAUGGGCUCGCGGCCUAUCAGCUUGUUGGUGGGGUGAUGGCCUACCAAGGCGGUGACGGGUAGCCGGCCUGAGAGGGUGGACGGUCACACUGGGACUGAGACACGGCCCAGACUCCUACGGGAGGCAGCAGUGGAGAAUAUUGCACAAUGGGCGCAAGCCUGAUGCAGCGACGCCGCGUGAGGGAUGGAGGCCUUCGGGUUGUGAACCUCUUUCGCCAGUGAAGCAGGCCUGCUCCUUGUGGGUGGGUUGACGGUAGCUGGAUAAGAAGCGCCGGCUAACUACGUG
rnacentral:rRNA from 1 species